rfam:Schistosoma mansoni strain Puerto Rico chromosome 1, complete genome
AUCCGGCUGACUAGUCCCAAAUAGGACGAAAUGCGCGUCCUGAAU